rnacentral:rRNA from 1 species
AGAGUUUGAUCCUGGCUCAGGAUGAACGCUGGCGGCGUGCCUAACACAUGCAAGUCGAGGGAGAUAAUCGCCGAAGGAGGUUUCGGCCGAAUUCAUGAUUAUCUUAGCGGCGGAUGGGGAGGAACGCGUGGAGAACCUGCCCUUCACAGGGGGAUAACAGUUGGAAACGGCUGUUAAACCGCAUAUGCUCACAGCACCGCAUGGUGCAGGGAGGAAAGCCGAGACGGUGAAGGAUGCUCCGCGUCGGAUUAGCCAGUUGGCGGGGUAACGGCCCACCAAAGCGAUGAUCCGUAGCGGCCUGAGAGGGCGACCGGCCACAUUGGGACUGAGACACGGCCCAAACUCCUGCGGGAGCAGCAGUGGGGGAUAUUGCACAAUGGGGGAAACCCUGAUGCAGCGACGCCGCGUGAAGGAGACGUAUUUCGGUAUGUAAACUUCUAUCAGCAGGGAAGAAGAUGACGGUACCUGACUAGAAGCCCCGGCUAACUACGUGCCAGCAGCCGCGGUAAUACGUAGGGGGCAAGCGUUAUCGGAUUUACUGGGUGUAAAGGGAGCGUAGACGGCGGUGCAAGUCUGAUGUGAAAACCCGGGCUCAACUCCGGGAUUGCAUUGGAAACUGUACUGCUGGAGUACUGGAGGGGCAGGCGGAUUCCUGGUGUAGCGGUGAAAUGCGUAGAUAUCAGGAGGAACACCGGUGGCGAAUGCGGCUGCUGGACAGUAACUGACGUUGAGGCUCGAAAGCGUGGGGAGCAAACAGGAUUAGAUACCUGGUAGUCCACGCCGUAACGAUGAAUACUAUGUGUGGGAGGGCAUUGCCCUUCGGUGCGCAGCAACGCAAUAAGUAUUCCACCUGGGGAGUACGUUC